GAAAGAAAAGCUAAAGAAGAGACCAAUGCUUCUUGUGUGACAUACUAAGUUACUAACUACUGCUGCUUUUUCGGUUGUGUUCGUGUCCAUGAGAAACUCUGCUCUUUCUGUUUUCUGUUGUAAAGUUCUUCUUCUACCUAAUUUAUUUAUUCCUCACAGCCAUUCAUGAGUAAACAAAAAAAAAUCCAAGAAAUCAAAACCAAAACUAAUGAAGGCACUUCAAAUUUAAGACGGAUUUGCAGAAAAAACAUCAAAUUUAAACUAAACACGUAUCACACAGAUCCAUAUGAAAUUAAAUGUAUAUUUGGUUAAUUACUAUUCUUAUGCGAAGUGCGUAAAAGAAAAAGACAUUUGAACACACUAAUUAUCAUAUGAUGAGGUUGGUGAAGUGAGUACACGUGAGAUAUUCGACUAAAUUACUUGACCACCUACUUCCUCAACAUGGUCAAUUUGAUAAAAAUAGAUUAAUGAAUAAAAUUAUAAAAAAUGAUACACAUAUAGCAGUAUGUUCCAAUUGAAGACACAUUAUACUUGAACACAAAAAUGAAGAUGCAUUGCAUAACCAUAUACCUCCAACAGGUCUAAGUUCCCAAAUCCCAAUGAAAGCAAAAACUACUCUGUUAACGAAUUUCUACUUCUAGUGAUCCUUAUGUACUAUGUUCAUAAACUUUGUUUAGCUUAACACUAUCUGACGUUUAAACCUAACUUGAAUAACUCAAAGAUGGAAAAAAAUUGCAGGGGCAUUGAUUGAUUGAUUGAUUAAUAACUUAAAGCUUAUUAGAUUAAAGAAAUCAAAAUGGAG